rnacentral:rRNA from 1 species
AUACAACUUUCAGCAACGGAUCUCUUGGCUCUCGCAUCGAUGAAGAACGCAGCGAAAUGCGAUAAGUAAUGUGAAUUGCAGAAUUCAGUGAAUCAUUGAAUCUUUGAACGCACCUUGCGCUCCUUGGUAUUCCGAGGAGCAUGCCUGUUUGAGUGUCAUUA